rnacentral:rRNA from 1 species
ACAACUUUUAGCGAUGGAUCUCUUGGCUCUCACACCGAUGAAGACCGCAGCU